UACGGAGGGUGCAAGCGUUAUCCGGAUUUACUGGGUUUAAAGGGUGCGUAGGUGGGUCUGUAAGUCAGUGGUGAAAUCUCCGAGCUUAACUCGGAAACUGCCAUUGAUACUAUAGGUCUUGAAUUAUCUGGAGGUGAGCGGAAUAUGUCAUGUAGCGGUGAAAUGCUUAGAUAUGACAUAGAACACCAAUUGCGAAGGCAGCUCACUACGGAUAUAUUGACACUGAGGCACGAAAGCGUGGGGGAGCAAACAGG
rnacentral:rRNA from 1 species